GUCCAGCAGACCUGGAAUGGGACACAGGGUGUCUCAUAGUGUGGCAAACUGGAAGCACGGAUUUCAGGAUUUUGGAGAAGGCCAAGAGUCUACCUGUGAAUCCCUAAAACAUCAUGGUGCCUCCUACCAUUGCACCUCUGCUGCUUUGUUGCCAAUGAAGCCGUGUUGCUAUUAAUGAGACCUUCCCAACCGUGGCUACCUCCUGAACGCCUCCACACUGGGAAAAUCCCUGCAGAAGGUGAUUUGUGGUAAAGAUUCUGUCCCAGGGCUAAGUCCUGUGUGUUCAGCACCCUGUGCAAUGCUUGGAG